AGUGGGUCGGGCAACCGCGUGCAAUGCAUGAGGAAAGUCCGGGCUUCAAAAGGCAAGAUGCCAGCUAACAGCUGGGCGGGGCGACCCGACGGAUCAGUGCCACAGAAAAGAAAACUCCCCCGCUGCCCUCAUUGAUGAACUAGAUGCUUAGCACCUUCUGAAACUUCUUACAAGAUGCUUCUGAGUUCUUAAAAGCGCUAGUCAUUAACGAAGGCAGCGGGAGAAAAGCUGAAACGGUGCGGUAAAAGCGCACCAGUGCGUCGGCAACGACGUAGCUUGGUAAACCCCAUCUGAAGCAAGCGCAAAUAGGAACGCUAUACGGCCGCCUUUCCGUGCGUUCGGGUUGCGUGCUUGAGUUGCAUGGUGACAUGUAAUCGAGAUAAAUGGUUGCCGAUUACAGAACCCGGCUUAUAGACCUACUCCU
rnacentral:RNase_P_RNA from 1 species